GACAGAGGUGCCAAGCGUUAGGCGGAAUCACUGGGCUUAAAGCGUGUGUAGGCGGAUAUCUAAGUACCUUGUGAAAUCCCACGGCUCAACCGUGGAACUGCUUGGUAUACUGGGUGUCUUGAGCCAUCUAGGGGCUACCGGAACAAAUGGUGGAGCGGUGAAAUGCGUAGAUAUCAUUUGGAACGCCAAUGGUGAAAACAGGUAGCUGGGGGUGUGCUGACGCUGAGACACGAAAGCCAGGGGAGCGAACGGG
rnacentral:rRNA from 1 species